rnacentral:lncRNA from 1 species
AAUUGAAAACUACUAAGGACUCAUUUGAUAUUGAGACUCAUGUAAUACUACUAACAGACAAAAUAAAGUUGAAAAAAAUAUAUAAAAAAUAUACUUUUGUAUUUUUCGAUAAAAUAAUAGAAAAUAUAUUGUAAAAGACUUAUUAAAAUAUACAAAAACAAAUAAAAUAUUUUUUCAUCGCACUUUCUCAUCUCACGUAACAUAAUGUCUCCACAAUUCUAAACGAAGUCUAAAUCAUUAGGCACCUACACAAUUUUUUAAAAAAAAUCG